rnacentral:rRNA from 1 species
AACGCGAAGAACCUUACCUGGGCUUGAACCGCUACUGACCAACGGUAGAAAUAUCGUCUUCCCGCAAGGGACAGUAGUAGAGGUGCUGCAUGGCUGUCGUCAGCUCGUGCCGUGAGGUGUUGGGUUAAGUCCCGCAACGAGCGCAACCCUUAUUCGUAGUUGCCACCCGCAAGGGGGAACUCUACGAGGACUGCUCCGGAUAACGGAGAGGAAGGUGGGGAUGACGUCAAGUCAGCACGGCCUUUAUGUCCAGGGCUACACACGUGUUACAAUGCACGGUACAGACUGUUGCGAACCCGCGAGGGGGAGCUAAUCGGACAAAACCGUGCUCAGUUCGGAUUGCAGUCUGCAACUCGACUGCAUGAAGCUGGAAUCGCUAGUAAUGGCGUAUCAGAUCGACGCCGUGAAUACGUUCCCGGGCCUUGUA